UUGGACUUCAAAUCCCAGAAGCCCCGUCCAACUUGGCCAGUGGUAAGAAAUGAUAGGAUCUGAAGUCCACCACGUCUGGAGGACCAAAGACUGGGGACCACUGACUUAAAAUUUGUCUUGUAGAUAAAAUCUCAAAAUGAAAGUGUGAUGCUAUUGUGGGUUUAUUCAGCCUUUGCCUUUCUCAAAUUCCUUGUAGGCUGAAGGAGAAACCAAGGGUGACAAGGCCAAAGCAAAGGAUGAGCCACAGCGGAGAUCAGCAAGAUUAUCUGCUAAACCUGCUCCUCCAAAGCCGGAACCCAACCUAAAAAGGCAGCUCCAAGGUG